rnacentral:lncRNA from 1 species
UCGGAGUACCUUCUUCCACGGAGAGACUUUCAAAAAUACUUUGUCACCGAUCUGAAACUCAAUAUCUUUUCUUUUUAAAUCCACAUGCGAUUUUUGACAAUUCGCAGCUACUUUCAAACUAUCUCAUAUUACUUUCACUUUUUCUUCUGUUUCUCUAACCAAAUCAACCCCGUGGAUCUCAUUCUCACUAAGCUCUGUCCAAUACAACAGUGUUCGACAUUUCUGACUGUAUAAAGCUUUAUAAGGAGCCAUUUU